rnacentral:RNase_P_RNA from 2 species
CCAGACGGCUGGACGGUCGCUGCAUUCGGGAUGAGGAUUCCGGAUGUGGAGGAAAGUCCGGGCUCCAUGGAAAAACGGUACCGGCUAACAGCCGGCGGGGGCGACCCCAGGGACAGUGCCACAGAAAACAGACCGCCCGCCGGGCUGUUUCCGCGCGAAACAUGCCGCGGGCAAGGGCGAAACGGUGCGGUAAGAGCGCACCGCGGCUCCGGCAACGAAGCCGGUCACGGUAAACCCUACCGGGAGCAAGACCGAAUAGGAACGGCAUGCCAUCUCUGGUGGCAGGAGUUUUUCACUCUGUCGUUCGGGUUGGUCGCGUGAGGCAUGCAGCAAUGCAUGUCCCAGAGGAAUGAUCGUCCCGCUUCUGAAGCGGACAGAACCCGGCUUACACGCCGUCUGGCUUU